AUAUUGCAGCCCGACUUGAGUGGAAAUCCUUUUUGUGUAGCAAAGCGGAAAAAAAAGAUUGGGAACGGAAGGCGGAAAUUGCU
rnacentral:sRNA from 1 species